GGCUCGAUAGCGGAUGGACCGCGCUUGCUUUACGUACGUAGCCAUUCAUCGGGUUUAUGCAGGACUCCCGUUCGACUCGGGGUCGGGCCA